rnacentral:rRNA from 1 species
GACGAACGCUGGCGGCGUGCUUAACACAUGCAAGUCGAACGGUAAGGCCCUUCGGGGUACACGAGUGGCGAACGGGUGAGUAACACGUGGGUGAUCUGCCCUGCACUUCGGGAUAAGCCUGGGAAACUGGGUCUAAUACCGGAUAGGACCACUGCCUGCAUGGGUGGUGGUGGAAAGCUUUUGCGGUGUGGGAUGGGCCCGCGGCCUAUCAGCUUGUUGGUGGGGUGAUGGCCUACCAAGGCGACGACGGGUAGCCGGCCUGGGGGGGUGACCGGCCACACUGGGACUGAGGUACGGCCCAGACUCCUACGGGAGGCAGCAGUGGGGAAGAUUGCACAAUGGGCGCAAGCCUGAUGAAGCGACGCCGCGUGAGGGAUGACGGCCUUCGGGUUGUAAACCUCUUUCAGCACCGACGAAGCGCAAGUGACGGUAGGUGCAGAAGAAGGACCGGCCAACUACGUGCCAGCCGCCGCCGUAA